GCUUACGGCCAUACCAGCCUGAAUACGCCCGAUCUCGUCCGAUCUCGGAAGCUAAGCAGGGUCGGGCCUGGUUAGUACUUGGAUGGAGACCGCCUGGGAAUACCAGGUGCUGUAAGCG
rnacentral:rRNA from 1 species